rnacentral:rRNA from 1 species
GUGAGUCAUCGAAUCUUUGAACGCACCUUGCGCUCCUUGGUAUUCCGAGGAGCAUGCCUGUUUGAGUGUCAUUAAAUUCUCAACUCUACCGAUUUGUUUCGGGCAGAGCUUGGAUUUGGAGCGUGCUGGCCCUUCCCUGGAGUCGGCUCCUCUUUAAAUGCAUCAGCGGAGUCUUCUUUGACUUCCGGUAUCAGUGUGAUAAUCAUGUUGCGCUGUUGGCCGAGGUCUUAGUCCGCUUACAAUGGUCUUCGGACAACAUAUCAAAUUUUGACCUCAAAUCAGGUAGGAUUACCCGCUGAACUUAAGCAUAUCAAUAAGCGGAGG